AACCCAAUGAUUGGCAAUGAUUGCCGCUUAUAUAGCACGAUCCAAGAGCAAAUUGGAGAAUUGGAUUUGGGUGGCUCAAUCUCAUUCGUCCAGCUGGCACUUAAGUGAAUGAGAAGGUGAGUUUUGAAUUAAGUCACGUGGGAUUUAGAAAAAUGAAUAGCACGCUUCACUCUUUGAUUUUUUCACUGAAGUCUGGAUAUUUUCAUUGAACCAAAUUGGUUUGGAUCCCUUAACUUCCUGAACUGCUUAUUGUUUUGAAACUCAUUGCUUUGAACUGAACUGCUUUUUUUUGGAUUAUAUGUCUGUGUUGGUACGCUUAGACAACUUGCUCUGUUUCUGCAGGUUUUCAUGGUUUUUGAUUCUGCAACAGGGUAAUGGUUACGACUCAAAUUCCAUUUCUUGCCUUGCAUUGCCAACUGUUAUGGAUUUUGCUGGUGUAGCCAUUAGAAUCACCUUGAUCCUCUUUUGCAGGUAGCUCUGAAGUUGCAGUGGGAUGCUUGGUUGAUAUGACUUAGCUCAAGUCAAAUGUUCCAACUCUAGUCAUUAUGUAUUGAUCUGGUAUGUAUGGUUAUGUAUGCGUUGGACAUGUUACCG
rnacentral:lncRNA from 1 species